GUCGUCCACGGACAUCAUGGCACCUGCAAAGCCAAUCGAUAAUGAUUAAUCAUUGCUGACAUUUAUGGCGAUUCCCGCUAUUGAUUAUUUUUUAAAGUGCGCAUUUUCUUGACGACCGUAAAGGGUGCCUUGUGUCGAGAUAAUGUUUAUCUCCGGACUGAAGUCCAUCGUCGAUGAUCACUCACCCGCAUUGUCAAAUUCCCCGCAAUAGUUAGGCGCCGAGAAGAGCGUGACCAGCUGACGCUUGGCAAAGAAU